UCCUUAGAUGUCCUGGGCCGCAUGCGCGUUACACUGAUGCAUUCAACGAGCUUAUAACCUUGGCCGAGAGGCCUGGGCAAUCUUGUUAACGUGCAUCGUGAUAGGGAUAGAUUAUUGAAAUUAUUAAUCUUGAACGAGGAAUUCCUAGUAAACGCAGAUCAUCAAUCUGCAUUGAUUACGUCCCUGCCCUUUGUACACACCGCCCGUCGCACCUACCGAUUGGAUGGUCCGGUGAAGCCUCGGGAUUGUGGUUCUUGCCGCUUUAUUGUGGCGUGACCGCGAGAACUUGUCUAAACCUUAUCAUCUAGAGGAAGGUGAAGUCGUAACA
rnacentral:rRNA from 1 species